GGGGGUAUAGCUCAGCUGGUAGAGCGCCUGCUUUGCAAGCAGGAGGCCGUCGGUUCGAGUCCGACUACCUCCACCA
rnacentral:tRNA from 1 species